rnacentral:rRNA from 1 species
GAUGAACGCUGGCGGCGUGCUUAACACAUGCAAGUCGAACGGAAAGGCCCAAGCUUGCUUGGGUACUCGAGUGGCGAACGGGUGAGUAACACGUGGGUGAUCUGCCCUGCACUUCGGGAUAAGCCUGGGAAACUGGGUCUAAUACCGGAUAGGACCACUUCUUGGAUGUUGUGGUGGAAAGUUUUCUCGGUGUGGGAUGAGCUCGCGGCCUAUCAGCUUGUUGGUGGGGUAAUGGCCUACCAAGGCGUCGACGGGUAGCCGGCCUGAGAGGGUGUACGGCCACAUUGGGACUGAGAUACGGCCCAGACUCCUACGGGAGGCAGCAGUGGGGAAUAUUGCACAAUGGGCGCAAGCCUGAUGCAGCGACGCCGCGUGGGGGAUGACGGCCUUCAGGUUGUAAACUCCUUUCGCUAGGGACGAAGCGUUUUUGUGACGGUACCUGGAGAAGAAGCACCGGCUAACUACGUG